rnacentral:lncRNA from 1 species
GUAUUUGCAGGAUCGCCAUUUAUCAUGCGAGGAAACAAUUAUAUUUAGGCAUUCAGCGCAUCAUACAGAGUGCACUUCUCGAUCACUUAAUUACCCUGUCACUCCCCUAAUUACGCACGCACACGCUUAUAUCAGCGGCAGUUCUUUUUUCUUUUGCAGUAUUGUGUGUUUGUAAAGUCUGGCCAGAGCCACCGACCGGCAGCAGCUAACGGUCGAUCAGUAGUACUUCCUCCAGUCGUCGGCCAUGCGCUCGCGCCGGAACCGCUCCUGCACCCUCGAUAUGUACAGCGCAGCGCGGCGGUCCACGUCGGCGUCGCCGCC